AUUUGGGUAAAGAGGAUUUCGUGGACCUAUAAUAUCACGUGACUCAAACAACUUCCGUCCUCUUGAUUUCAUACUUUGCAAAGCACAAAGAAUACAGAAUGAGGGCAAAGUGGAAGAAGAAACGCAUGAGGAGAUUGAAGCGUAAAAGGCGAAGGAUGAGGGCUAGAUCCAAAUAAGCCAUUUCCCUCGUUUUAAAUUCAACCCAUUAAACAAUGAAUUGAUCACUGAAGAUGGAAGAUUGGUGUCUUGCGUGAUAUUAAACUGAUUAGGCCGAUACCUCAGACUUUACCAGUACAAGUUCAUUAAGAAGCUUCAUUUAAAAUGGUUGCAGGGUUAUAAACCAUGAAUCCAGUUUACCUCAUCAGAACUCUUCAGUAAUACUGAAUGAUGUUAAAAUAUAUUCCGUGAAUUUUUACUUAAAACGAGAGAAAGUGCCAUACUAAAUACUUUUGGAAGAUGAUGGUAAAGAGGAAUGUGCUUUUGUGUAAUCUGGACAAGAUGAGUCUUUUGGAUGGUUUUAUUGUUCUGUUCUCCCAUUUAGCUAAGGACACUUCUAAGAUUGUAUUCCUAAUUUAAUGGGUUGUUUUUCAUUUUUGUAUCCAUGUUCAAUAAAACGUGUGUGCAUUUAA